UACGUAGGGCGCAAGCAUUGUCCGGAAUUAUUGGGCGUAAAGCGCGCGCAGGCGGCUCUUUAAGUCUGGUGUUUAAGUGCGGGGCUCAACCCCGUGACGCACUGGAAACUGGGGAGCUUGAGUGCAGAAGAGGGGAGCGGAAUUCCACGUGUAGCGGUGAAAUGCGUAGAGAUGUGGAGGAACACCCGUAGCGAAGGCGGCACUCUGGGCCGGAACUGACGCUGAGGAGCGAAAGCGUGGGGAGCAAACAGG
rnacentral:rRNA from 1 species